ensembl:snoRNA
AUCCUUUUGUAGUUCAUAAGCAGGAUGAUUGGGUUUUCAUGAGCAUGCGUGAGAUGUGCUUCCCACAAAUCUUGUUACGGCCCAUUACCCAUCUGACA